AAAUUUGUCCUAUGGUCGGGCUUUACGGUCCGUACAGUAGUGGCGAAUUUCUACCUUCUGAAGAACCUUCAUGUCAUUAAUUUGGUGUGUUGGGAAAUCAGGACUGUUACUUUGAAAAAAUUAGAGUGUUUAAAGCAGGCUAUAGUCUGAAUACAUUAGCAUGGAAUAAUGAAAUAGGACGGAUUGGUUCUAUUUUGUUGGUUUCUAGGAUCACCGUA
rnacentral:rRNA from 1 species